rnacentral:lncRNA from 1 species
AGUAGUUGUGGUAGUGGUAGUUGUAGUGGUAGUGGUGGUGGUGGUGGUUGUAGUAGUAGUAGUAGUGGUAGUUGUGGUGGUAGUUGUAGUGGGGGUGGUGGUGGAAGUAGUUGUAGUGGUGGUGGUAGUGGUGGUGUUUGUAGUAGUGGUAGUAGUAGUGGUGGUAGUUGUAGUAGUGGUAGUUGUAGUAGUGGUGGUGGUGGUGGUGGUGGUGGUGGUAGUUGUAGUGGUGGUAGUGGUGGUGUUUGUAGUAGUGGUGGUAGUAGUGGUGGUGUUAGUAGUGGUAGUUGUAGUAGUGGUAGUAGUAGUAGUAGUAGCGGUGGUAGUAGUGGUAGUUGUAGUUGUAGUAGUAGUGGUAGUGGUAGUUGUAGUAGUGGUAGUUGUAGUAGUAGUGGUGGUGGAGGUGGUAGUUGUGGUAGUAGUAGUAGUGGUAGUUGUGGUAGUAGUAGUAGUGGUAGUUGUGGUAGUUGUAGUAGUGGUGGUGGUAGUUGUAGUAGUGGUGGUGGUAGUUGUAGUAGUAGAGUGGUAGUUGUAGUAGUAGUGGUGGUGGUAGUAGUGGAAGUAGUAGUAGUGGUAGUUGUAGUGGUGGUGUUAAAAGUUGUAGUAGUGGUGGUAGUGGUAGUAGUGGUAGUUGUAGUAGUGGUGGUGUUAAAAGUUGUAGUAGUGGUGGUAGUGGUAGUAGUGGUAGUUGUUGUAGUGGUGGUGGUGGUGGUGGUAGUUGUAGUAGUAGUGGUAGUUGUAGUGGUUGUGGUAGUAGUAGUGGUGGUGGUUGUAGUGGUAGGUGUAGUGGUGGUGGUGGUGGUGGUAGUUGUAGUAGUAGUUCCACUAGUAGUAGUAGUAGUAGUAGUAGUAGUAGCAGUACCAAUAGUAGUAGUAGUAGUGGUGGUGGUAGUUGUAGUAGUGGUGGUGGUAGUUGUAGUAGUAGAGUGGUAGUUGUAGUAGUAGUGGUGGUGGUAGUAGUGGAAGUAGUAGUAGUGGUAGUUGUAGUGGUGGUGUUAAAAGUUGUAGUAGUGGUGGUAGUAGUGGUAGUUGUUGUAGUAGUGGUGGUGUUAAAAGUUGUGGUGGUAGUGGUAGUAGUGGUAGUUGUUGUAGUGGUGGUGGUGGUGGUGGUAGUUGUAGUAGUAGUGGUAGUUGUAGUGGUUGUGGUAGUAGUAGUGGUGGUGGUUGUAGUGGUAGGUGUAGUGGUGGUGGUGGUGGUGGUGGUGGUAGUUGUAGUAGUAGUUCCACUAGUAGUAGUAGUAGUAGUAGUAGUAGUAGUAGUAGUAGCAGUACCAAUAGUAGUAGUAGUGGUGGUGGUAAUGGUAGUUGUAGUAGUGGUGGUGGAGGUGGUAGUUGUAGUAGUGGUAGUUGUAGUAGUAGUGGGGGUGGUGGUAGUUGCAGUGGUGGUGGUAGUUGUGGUGGUGGUAGUAGUAGUAGUAGUGGUGGUGGUAGUUGUAGUGGUGGUGGAGGUGGUAGUUGUAGUAGUAGUGGUGGUGGUGGUAGUUGUGGAGGUGGUAGUUGUAGUAGUAGUGGUGGUGGUAGUGGUAGUUGUAGUAGUAGUGGUGGUGGUGGUAGUUGUGGAGGUGGUAGUUGUAGUAGUAGUGGUGGUGGUAGUUGUGGUAGUUGUAGUAGUUGUAGUAGUAGUAGUAGUAGUAGUAGCAGUACCAAUAGUAGUAGUAGUGGUGGUGGUGGUAGUAGUUGUAGUAGUAGUAGUGGCGGUGGUGGUGUUAGUUGUAGUGGUGGUGGAGGUGGUGGUAGUUGUAGUGGUAGUAGUAGUAGCAGUAACAAUGGUAGUACCACUAGUAGUAGUAGUAGUAGUAGUAGUAGCAGUACCAAUAGUAGUAGUGGUGGUGGUGGUGGUAGUUGUAGUGGUGGUGGAGGUGGUGGUUGUAGUAGUAGUAGUGGUGGUGGAGGUGGUGGUUGUAGUAGUAGUGGUGGUGGUAGUUGUAGUAGUAGUGGUGGUGGUGGUAGUUGUAGUAGUAGUGGUGGUUGUGGUAGUUGUAGUAGUAGUGGUGGUGGAGGUGGUGGUUGUAGUAGUGGUGGAGGUGGUAGUUGUAGUGGUGGUGGUAGUUGUAGUAGUAGUAGUAGUACCACUAGUAGUAGUAGUGGUGGUGGUGGUGGUGGUAGUUGUAGUAGUAGUAGUAGUACCACUAGUAGUAGUAGUAGUAGUAGUAGUAGCAGUACCAAUAGUAGUAGUAGUGGUGGUGGUAAUGGUAGUGGUGGUAGUAGUAGUGGUGGUAGUAGUAGUGGUGGUGGAGGUGGUAGUGGUAGUAGUAGUUGUAGUAGUGGUAGUUGUACUAGUAGUGGGGGUGGUGGUAGUUGUAGUGGUGGUGGUGGUAGUGGUAGUAGUAGUGGUGGUGGUGGUAGUUGUAGUAGUAGUGGUGGUGGUAGUUGUAGUAGUAGUAGUAGUAGUAGUACCACUAGUAGUAGUAGUAGUAGCAGUACCAAUAGUAGUAGUAGUGUUGGUGGUAGUUGUAGUAGUAGUAGUAGUAGUAGUAGUAGUAGUAGCAGUACCAAUAGUAGUAGUAGUGGUGGUGGUAGUAGUUGUAGUAGUAGUAGUGGCGGUGGUGGUGUUAGUUGUAGUGGAGGUGGUGGUAGUUGUAGUGGUAGUAGUAGUAGCAGUACCAAUAGUAGUACCACUAGUAGUAGUAGUAGUAGUAGUAGUAGUAGUAGUAGCAGUACCAAUAGUAGUAGUAGUGGUGGUGGUGGUAGUUGUAGUGGUGGUGGUAGUUGUAGUAGUACCACUAGUAGUAGUAGUAGUAGCAGUACCAAUAGUAGUGGUGGUGGUAGUAGUAGCAGUACCAAUAGUAGUGGUGGUAGUAGUCGUAGUGGUGGUGGUAGUACCAGUAGUAGUAGUAGUGGUGUUGGUAAUAGUAGUAGUAGUAGUAGUAGUAGUGGUGUUGGUAGUAAUAGUUGCAGUAGUAGUGUCAUUGACCAUGUGAUGGUUUACUAAUAGUUUUUCCCAGUGUCCACAGAAGUGUGGAGGUUGGACAUCUGUUUCCUCUUCUUUCCUCACCCUCUUCCUGCUUUCCUCUCAUCUCUCCAUCGCGGGGCCAGAAUGAGCUAAUAAUGAGCCAUGAUGAGUGUUCCUCAACAGACCGAAGGGAACUUAACAAGAAGAGAGGAAGAAGUGCAGGUCUUCAGGUUGUAAUGUGAAUAGCAGGACAGACUGCUCAUUAAAGCAGCUCACUGCAUCGUCACAAACACACAGGGGCUUUUAUGAGAACAGAACAGAGGAAGGCCACCCUAGUCAUAGACUGUUCUCUCUGCUACCGCACGGAAAGCGGUACCGGAGUGCCAAGACUA